GGCUCGGUAGUGAAUGGUCCACAUCUACAUCACUUGUAUGAUGGCGUCAAAAACAAUUUAAAUGCAGAAGAAGCCUGUUCAAUCCAGGCCCGAGCCA